rnacentral:rRNA from 1 species
AUCGUGUCUGGAUGUCUUAAUGAUUACGAUCCUAUAUUUUUCGAUCGAGCCUCUAAUCAGUCAAGAAUACCCGCUGAAUUUAAGCAUAUCAAURAGCGGAGGAA